rnacentral:rRNA from 1 species
UUCCGGUUGAUCCUGCCGGACCCCACUGCUAUCGGGAUAGGACUAAGACAUGCUAGUCAAGCGCUCCCCAGCCAAAGGGGAGUGCGGCAUACAGCUCAGUAGCACGUGGCUAACCUGCCCUUGGGACAGGGACAACCCCGGGAAACUGGGGCUAAUACCCAAUAGGCGAAGGCUUCUGGAAUGAACUUUCACCCGAAAGGAUCCCUACGCUAUGCUCGUAGGCUUCGCCCAAGGAUGGGGCCGCGACCGAUCAGGUUGUUGGUGAGGCAACGGCUCACCAAGCCUAUAACCGGUGCGGGCCGUGGGAGCGGGAGCCCGGAGAUGGGCACUGAGACAAGGGCCCAGGCCCUACGGGGCGCAGCAGUCGCGCAACCUCUGCAAUACACGCAAGUGUGACAGGGCUAUCCCGAGUGCCGUCCGCUGAGGAUGGCUUUUACCCAGUCUAGAAAGCUGGGGGAAUAAGGAGAGGGCAAGUCUGGUGUCAGCCGCCGCGGUAAUACCAGCUCUCCGAGUGGUGUGGAUGUUUAUUGGGCCUAAAGCAUCCGUAGCUGGCCAAGUUAGUCCCCUGUUAAACCCACCGAAUUAAUCGUUGGCGUGCGGGGGAUACUGCUCGGCUAGGGGACGGGAGAGGCAGACGGUAUUUUCGGGGUAGGGGUGAAAUCCUAUAAUCCCGGGAAGACCACCAGUGGCGAAGGCUGUCUGCUAGAACGCGCCCGACGGUGAGGGAUGAAAGCUGGGGGGAGCGAACCGGAUUAGAUACCCGGGUAGUCCCAGCUGUAAACGAUGCAGGCUAGGUGUUUGGACGGCCACGUGCCGUUCUAGUGCCGCAAGGAAGCUGUUAAGCCUGCCGCCUGGGGAGUACGGCCGCAAGGCU